UCUCAACAACUGAACAUUUUGUUAAAAAGUCAGAUUCAAAAGGAAAGUCUGUCUCUCUUGUAUGUAUGAGGGUAAGAAUAUUCCAAUCUGAUAGAUACAGAAAAUCAGUCUUGUAAAUAAAUAGGUGUGUGUGUGUGUCUGUGUGUGUGUAUGUAUAUAUACAUACGUGUGUAUAUAUUUGUGUCUACAUGUAUAUAUACAUAUAUAUAUGUAUAUAUGUGUGUAUAUGUAUUUAUACAUAUACAUUCAAGAGGGGCAUUUUAGGUAGUUACUGUGCCUACAUAUAGUAAAUGAUAAGGUACUUACAGGCUACAGUCUGAUCUAUUUAUACAGCCUGCUCAGAUCACUGGCAGUUGUUCGCUAGAUGUGAACAUGGGCUGGGAAACCUCCCUAGGUGUGACAGGAAGCCUGCUUGGAUUGACUAGAUAAACUGGUCAAGCCAUCUGAGUCUAUAUAAAAGCCUCAAGCUAACUGGAAGGCAGAGAGAGGAGAGUCACUGCUGAGAAGGAAUUGCUUGGGAGGUAGAGAGAGUCUACUUUGGCCUCACCUUAUGCCCUUUGGCUAGAAGAAGGCCUCCAGAACUUCUGAGGACUGAGUGAUUUCAGACUGCCAACCUUCACCCUGCCAUCCCAGCAGUGUUUCCAGAACAACUAAUAAUAACAAUGUCUUGAUUGGGAACCAAGGAUAACCUGGACAAGCACCCAUGAAGAAAAACUACACCGACCUAAGGGAAGCAUCUUUAUGACUUCAGCCAGAGGCCUUCCAGUAGCUAUGGUUUGGACGUACUACAGAUGUAACUCUAAAGGGAUUUGCUCUUGUCCUCAAACUGAAAAAGCAAGAUUGAUCCUUAAAGUUGCAUUUAAUAAGAGAAGACUCAGGAAAGAAAUACUUGCCUGGGGAUAGCCCAACUGGAGGUAGGUCACUACGGGAAAAACCAUUCAACAUGUGUAGGCCUAUCUAUGUUCUCUCGGAUCAUGAAGAUCCCAAUGGAGUGUUUGGAUUGCCCCCUUGUCAUAUGUCAUCCUCACUAUGUGAGCACCCUCACCUUAACUAUUAGUCAUUUCCUUAAUGGUAAUUUUCCUUUCUGUUCUUCCCCAGAGCUCCUCAGAGAUUAUAUGGUGCAGCAAACUCCCAUUGUACCUUUCCA